rnacentral:rRNA from 1 species
UAGGGAAUUUUCGGCAAUGGGGGAAACCCUGACCGAGCAACGCCGCGUGAAGGAAGAAGGUUUUCGGAUUGUAAACUUCUGUUAUAAAGGAAGAACGGCGGCUACAGGAAAUGGUAGCCGAGUGACGGUACUUUAUUAGAAAGCCACGGCUAACUACGUGCCAGCAGCCGCGGUAAUACGUAGGUGGCAAGCGUUAUCCGGAAUUAUUGGGCGUAAAGAGGGAGCAGGCGGCAGCAAGGGUCUGUGGUGAAAGCCUGAAGCUUAACUUCAGUAAGCCAUAGAAACCAGGCAGCUAGAGUGCAGGAGAGGAUCGUGGAAUUCCAUGUGUAGCGGUGAAAUGCGUAGAUAUAUGGAGGAACACCAGUGGCGAAGGUGACGAUCUGGCCUGCAACUGACGCUCAGUCCCGAAAGCGUGGGGAGCAAAUAG